rnacentral:tRNA from 1 species
GGUUGUAGCUGAGAGGUAGAGUGUUUGCCUAGCAUGUAUGAGGCACUGGGUUCGAUCCUCGGCACCA